rnacentral:rRNA from 1 species
AACGUACGCUGGCGGCACGCCUAACACAUGCAAGUCGAACGAAGUAGCAAUACUUAGUGGCAGACGGGUGAGUAACAUGUGGGUAUCUACCCUUUGGCCUGGAAUAACACGAGGAAACUUGUGCUAAUACCGGAUAAGUCUUUACGGAGAAAGCUUUAUGCACCAUUGGAUGAGCCCGCACUUGAUUAGUUUGUUGGUAGGGUAAUGGCCUACCAAGACUAUGAUCAAUAGCUGAUUUGAGAGGAUGAUCAGCCACAUUGGGACUGAGACACGGCCCAAACUCCUACGGGAGGCAGCAGUGGGGAAUCUUGCACAAUGGAGGAAACUCUGAUGCAGCGAUGCCGCGUGAGUGAAGAAGGCCUUUGGGUUGUAAAGCUCUUUCGUCGGGGAAGAAAAUGACUGUACCCGAAUAAGAAGGUCCGGCUAACUUCGUGCCAGCAGCCGCGGUAAUACGAAGGGACCUAGCGUAGUUCGGAAUUACUGGGCUUAAAGAGUUCGUAGGUGGUUGAAAAAGUUGGUGGUGAAAUCCCAGAGCUUAACUCUGGAACUGCCAUCAAAACUUUUCAGCUAGAGUAUGAUAGAGGAAAGCAGAAUUUCUAGUGUAGAGGUGAAAUUCGUAGAUAUUAGAAAGAAUACCAAUUGCGAAGGCAGCUUUCUGGAUCAUUACU